CCUACGGGAGGCAGCAGUGAGGAAUAUUGGUCAAUGGGCUUACGCCUGAACCAGCCAAGUCGCGUGAGGGAAGACUGCCCUAUGGGUUGUAAACCUCUUUUGUCAGGGAGCAACGCCGGCUACGUGUAGCCGGACUGAGAGUACCUGAAGAAAAAGCAUCGGCUAACUCCGUGCCAGCAGCCGCGGUAAUACGGAGGAUGCGAGCGUUAUCCGGAUUUAUUGGGUUUAAAGGGUGCGUAGGCGGAAUGCCAAGUCAGCGGUAAAAUCGCGGGGCUCAACCUCGCUCCGCCGUUGAAACUGGCGGUCUUGAGUGCGCGAGAGGGAUGCGGAAUGCGUGGUGUAGCGGUGAAAUGCAUAGAUAUCACGCAGAACUCCGAUUGCGAAGGCAGCAUACCGGCGCCCAACUGACGCUGAAGCACGAAAGCGUGGGUAUCGAACAGGAUUAGAUACCCGUGUAGUC
rnacentral:rRNA from 1 species